CAGCUCCUAACGCCGCAGGUUCCUCCUGGUCCCCGAGGCCCCCGGUCGGGCGUUGCCUGCCCCGCGCGGGCGGCCGGGCCGAGGGACGAUGGUCAGUGGACGGACGGCGCCAGGGAGCAGUGCCCACGCGCGGCAGGGCGGUACCUUCAGGCCUCCAGGUGUCAUCGAACACCCUUGUGCUUGCUGUCACCCGCUGCCUGUCUGCAGGAUCCCGGAUUCCGUAUCAGGGGACCGAAAUUAGUCGGAAAAUAGGAAGCAGGUGCUCGCUUGGAUGGAACCCUGACCCUGUGCUCACACUUGUAGGAGGAGGGCUCUGCAGGCCGCCUCCCGGAACGGGAGGUUCCCAAGCCACUGCACUUCGGAGGGGCUGUAAUUAGAGUUGCACAUUCAUUCAGUUCCCAGUAAAGUAGAACGUGCUCCAGCCAGUGAGGAAAAGGUGUUUUUAAAAAUUAGAUUGGCCGAGUGCGGUGGCUCAUGCCUUUUACCUCAACACUUUGGGAGACAAAGGUGGGAGGAUCACCUGUGGCCAGGAGUUCAAGACCAGCCUGGGCAACAGAGCCUGUCUCUGGGGAAGAAUAAAAAAAAAAAUUGAGCCUUUAAAAAAAAAA
rnacentral:lncRNA from 1 species